CACGCGGUAUUGGUCAGUCAAACAAAAAUACUCAUAGUAGGGCGACGGCUGAAAAGGUGGCACGAAUGCGUACGACAGUCUAGUGUCAAGGCCACAGGCGACGGGAUACGCGAGAAUCUAUAACACGUAGCGCGUGGAGAGUUACAAACAAACAUACAGAAGUUACCAAAAAAAAUACCCUAAGCGAUUGGUGAAGACUCCAGAAGAAUUGAAGUACUAUUUUGUAUUCAUAGAGGAAUUAACAAGAAAAAGAAAUCAUAUCAAGAUAAAAGAGUAUCAUCGUCAGCAAACAUUCUUUUUAAAUAAUAAUUCAACAAGACUGUUCUUCAUAUAAUUAUGUGAGAAUUAAUGAUAAUGGAGAUAAAUUAAAAGUAAAAUGUGUGGUAAUCACAAUCACGAGAUAAAUGAAAUAUUGAUUAAUAACUUACCAAAUCAAAUUGGUCGGUAAUAUAACUGAUAUCCGACCACUGCACGACGAAAUGCGUUUUUAUCUUUUGAACCCCCCUUGUAUAAAGGGAAAUGAUUUGAUUUAAAAAAAAUGGAGGGUCGAUUG